GUGAGCUUGGGUUUCAGAACGUCGUGAGACAGUUCGGUCCAUAUCCGGUGUGGGCGUUAGAGAAUUGAGAGGACCUUUCCCUAGUACGAGAGGACCGGGAAGGACGCACCUCUGGUGUACCAGUUAUCGUGCCUACGGUAAACGCUGGGUAGCCAAGUGCGGAGAGGAUAACUGCUGAAAGCAUAUAAGUAGUAAGCCCACCCCAAGAUGAGUGCUC
rnacentral:ncRNA from 1 species